AGGAAGGAGGAGGAGGAAUCUCAGAUAAGCGGGUUGGGGAUAAUAGGCGGAAGAGCUCAGGGAGAAAAGAGUGAGGGGAGGUGAAGAGAAGCUGCCCUUCUUGUGGCUCGGAGCUUGGGGUUGAAGAGAAGAGGGGGAAAGGAAAUCCGAUUUCCAUCCAGUUGUUCCCCCCAGAGCUGGUGGAGCAUAUCAUCUCAUUCCUCCCAGUCAGAGACCUUGUUGCCCUCGGCCAGACCUGCCGCUACUUCCACGAAGUGUGCGAUGGGGAAGGCGUGUGGAGACGCAUCUGUCGCAGACUCAGUCCGCGCCUCCAAGAUCAGGGUUCUGGAGUCCGGCCCUGGAAGAGAGCUGCCAUUCUGAACUACACGAAGUGCCUGUAUUUCCAGGCAUUUGGAGGCCGCCGCCGAUGUCUCAGCAAGAGCGUGGCCCCCUUGCUAGCCCACGGCUACCGCCGCUUCUUGCCCACCAAGGAUCACGUCUUCAUUCUUGACUACGUGGGGACCCUCUUCUUCCUCAAAAAUGCCCUGGUCUCCACCCUCGGCC
rnacentral:sRNA from 1 species